GAUGAACGCUGGCGGCGUGCCUAAUGCAUGCAAGUCGAGCGAACAGACGAGGAGCUUGCUCCUCUUACGUUAGCGGCGGACGGGUGAGUAACACGUGGAUAACCUACCUAUAAGACUGGGAUAACUUCGGGAAACCGGAGCUAAUACCGGAUAAUAUAUUGAACCGCAUGGUUCAAUAGUGAAAGACGGUUUUGCUGUCACUUAUAGAUGGAUCCGCGCCGCAUUAGCUAGUUGGUAAGGUAACGGCUUACCAAGGCGACGAUGCGUAGCCGACCUGAGAGGGUGAUCGGCCACACUGGAACUGAGACACGGUCCAGACUCCUACGGGAGGCAGCAGUAGGGAAUCUUCCGCAAUGGGCGAAAGCCUGACGGAGCAACGCCGCGUGAGUGAUGAAGGUCUUCGGAUCGUAAAACUCUGUUAUUAGGGAAGAACAAAUGUGUAAGUAACUAUGCACGUCUUGACGGUACCUAAUCAGAAAGCAACGGCUAACUCCGUG
rnacentral:rRNA from 1 species